CAGUGGGAAAGAACAGUAAGCACCGUCUGAAGGAUACUUUGCGUCUUGAAUACAUUCCUUCUAUGCCAACAGCUGUGGGGGUCUGCUGUGCUCCACGGCUGAAGAGGCUGUUCUCCAUGAAAAGAGAGAAAAAAACAAGAAAAUAUGAAAUAGAGCAAACGGGGGACACUAGCAAAGGGCAAAGAAAAUCCUAGAAGGAUGGGGAGCAGAUCCCCAGAAUGGCAGCUGUGCUCCAGAUGUAACCAGCCCACAUUGUAGUAAUGUGACUCAAGACAUGAUGCCACCAUUGUACCUUCUUCUUUAACCUGAGGACACAGUGCUCAGUUUGGCCUGCUGUCAUAUGACCUUUGCAUUAUCAUAAUUUUGGACAUAAGCCCUAUGAUAUAAUGGACAUUGGAUUGGAAAUCAGGAAAACCAGAUCCUACCCACACCUCUACCACUGACUACUAAAUAGUAACUUGUCUGGACUAUUGCGGAGUCUCUUUCCUGCAUCUGCGCAGCUCCUGAUGUCUCAGAGGGUGAAGGAGGAACUGGGAAGAUUUCAAGCCAACUAUAGAGCUACCAACAAUUUCUGUGGAAGCAAUAAUUUCAUUUCCAUAAUUAGUUAAAAUUAACACCAGUACCGCUAAAGAACCAGAUUAUCAUGAUUAAAAGUCUAACACUUAUGUCCGCAUCACAGUAACAAAAUAUUUAAUAAGUAAAUAUAAUUAGGAAAAAAAGGAUUAUUUAAAAUUACAGCAUCUACUUUUUGAGAAUGCCAAUUAUUUUAAGCCAUUUUAAAACAUUAUUAAAACAUUGCAUUGUAAUUUAACAAUUAUAAUUUAGGUGUGUGCUACUAGGUAGUAAACUUGCAUGUAAAUUUAC
rnacentral:lncRNA from 1 species